UACAGAGGGUGCAAGCGUUAAUCGGAAUUACUGGGCGUAAAGGGUGCGUAGGUGGUUGAAUAAGUUAGGUGUGAAAGUCCAGGGCUUAACCUUGGGAUUGCGCCUAGUACUGUUUAGCUAGAGUACUGUAGAGGAAGGUGGAAUUUCCGGUGUAGCGGUGAAAUGCGUAGAUAUCGGGAGGAACACCAGUGGCGAAGGCGACUACCUGGCCUGUUUCUUGACGCUGAGGCGCGAAAGCUAGGGGAGCAAACGGG
rnacentral:rRNA from 1 species